GGACGCUUUUAUUGGAUCAAAACCCUUCCUUCGGCUUGGCUGAGUGUUGGCUUGAUGACUCUAGAUAACACCGCAGAUCGCACGGUCUUUGCACCGGCGACAUAUCCUUCAAAUGUCUGACUUAUCAGCCGCGAUGGUAGACUCUAUGUCUACCAUGGCUCUCACGGGUAACGGGGAAUCAGGGUUCGAUUCCGGAGAGGGAGCCUGAGAAACGGCUACCACAUCCAAGGAAGGCAGCAGGCACGCAAAUUACCCACUCCCGGCACGGGGAGGUAGUGACAAAAAAUAACGAUACGGGACUCAUCCGAGGCCCCGUAAUCGGAAUGAGAACACUUUAAAUCCUUUAACAAGGAUCCAUUGGAGGGCAAGUCUGGUGCCAGCAGCCGCGGUAAUUCCAGCUCCAAUAGCGUAUAUUAAAGUUGUUGCGGUUAAAAAGCUCGUAGUUGGUUCUGCGUGCCAUGCUGUUGGUUCACCGCCUGUCGGUGUAACUGACAUGUUAUGGCAUGUCCUGUCGGUGGUGAAUGAGGUCCCGUUGUUCGCACUGUACAAUCGGUUUUUAACCGGAUGUAAGUUGUCGUUCAGCAGUGUAUCUUGUUUACCUACUUUAAUCCUAUCGCGGUGCUCUUUACCGAGUGUCGAGGUAGGCCGACAAUGUUUACUUUGAACAAAUUAGAGUGCUUAAAGCAGGCUUUUAAAUCUGCCUAAAUAGUGGUGCAUGGAAUAAUGGAACAGGACCUUGGUUCUAUUUUGUUGGUUUUCGGAAUCCAAGGUAAUGAUCAAUAAGGACAGGCG
rnacentral:rRNA from 1 species